AUGUAGAGCAAUCUGUCUAAGUAGGGGUAAACUACUCUUUAAAAAAAAAAAACAAAAAAAAAAACCUAGAUAGUUCUCCCUUCUAGUAAAGCGUCUUGU
rnacentral:pre_miRNA from 1 species